rnacentral:rRNA from 1 species
AUGUACAUGCCUACAACAUAGUGUUAAUCACCGGAUCCCAUUAGAAUUUCGUAGUUAAGCACGCUCGGGCUAGAGUAGUACUGGGAUGGGUGAUCACCUAGGAAGUCCUAGUGUUUUACAUU